rnacentral:lncRNA from 1 species
UUAGUUUUCAACGAUUGGCUCUAGUUCUUGAUAUACAGGGUGUUCCAGAUAUAUUCUUAUACAAAUAUCUUCGUUCAUGCAUAUUUUACAAACACAAUGAGUUCUUCACGAAGAGGAUGUUUGAAUAACCCCAAUGCAUUCUGCCACAUCUGUGGUGGAUAUUGCCAGGAGAGCCAAAGAAGAAAUAUUACUAACUUUGUGAAGCAAGCAUAUCUGGCAUACUUUGGAAUGAAACUCGGAGACCAAGAUAAGUCUUGGGCUCCCCAUAUUGUAUGUAAAACGUGUGUCGAAAAUCUACGUCAGUGGAAAAAUGGACAAA